CCGCUUCAAUUUGUUGAGGCUUAUAAAGUGAAUGUGUGCAUCAAUCGCUCCUGCUGUGACGAUUUUGCCUUCGGCAGCAAUAACUUCCGUAGCAGCACCAACAACCAUAUUGUCCGUCACACCAUCCAUAACGUCAGGGUUUCCUGCCUUGCCGAUUCCGACAAUCCUUCCAUCUUUCACACCGAUGUCUGCUUUUACGAUGCCACUAUAAUCAAUGAUUAAAGCGUUCGUAAAAACUAAAUCCAAUACGCCAUCUUCUCUCGUUCUCGUACUAUUCUGUCCCAUGCCAUCGCGA
rnacentral:sRNA from 1 species